rnacentral:rRNA from 1 species
UGCCAGCCGCCGCGGUAACACGGGGGGGGCAAACGUUGUCCGGAAUUAUUGGGCGUAAAGGGCGCGUAGGCGGCGCUAUAAGUCAGAGGUGAAAGGCCACAGCUUAACUGUGGGACUGCCUUUGAUACUGUAGUGCUUGAAUUAGGUUGAGGUCGGCGGAAUGUGACAUGUAGCGGUGAAAUGCUUAGAUAUGUCAUAGAACACCAAUUGCGAAGGCAGCUGACUAGACCUUAAUUGACGCUGAGGCACGAAAGCGUGGGGAGCGAACAGGAUUAGAUA